UACGUAGGGCGCAAGCGUUAUCCGGAAUUAUUGGGCGUAAAGAGCUCGUAGGCGGCUCAUCGCGUCUGCCGUGAAAACCCGCAGCUCAACUGCGGGCUUGCGGUUGAUACGGGUGGGCUGGAGUUCGGUAGGGGAGACUGGAAUUCCCGGUGUAGCGGUGAAAUGCGCAGAUAUCGGGAGGAACACCAGUGGCGAAGGCGGAACUCUGGGCCGGAACUGACGCUGAGGAGCGAAAGCGUGGGGAGCGAACAGG
rnacentral:rRNA from 1 species